CCUACGGGUGGGCAGCAGUGAGGAAUAUUGGUCAAUGGGCUUACGCCUGAACCAGCCAAGUCGCGUGAAGGAUGACGGCCCUACGGGUUGUAAACUUCUUUUGUCAGGGAGCAAUUGAGUCCACGUGUGGUCUUAGCGUGUGUAACUGAAGAAAAAGCAUCGGCUAACUCCGGGCCAGCAGCCGCGGUAAUACGGAGGAUUCAAGCGUUAUCCGGAUUUAUUGGGUUUAAAGGGUGCGUAGGCGGUCGGAUAAGUUAGAGGUGAAAUCCCGAGGCUCAACUUCGGAAUUGCAUCUGAUACUGUUCGGCUAGAGAGUAGUUGCGGUAGGCGGAAUGUAUGGUGUAGCGGUGAAAUGCUUAGAGAUCAUACAGAACACCGAUUGCGAAGGCAGCUUACCAAGCUACUUCUGACGUUGAGGCACGAAAGCGUGGGGAGCAAACAGGAUUAGAUACCCGUGUAGUC
rnacentral:rRNA from 1 species